rnacentral:rRNA from 1 species
UAGGGAAUCUUCCGCAAUGGGCGAAAGCCUGAUGGAGCAACGCCGCGUGAGUGAUGAAGGUCUUCGGAUCGUAAAACUCUGUUAUCAGGGAAGAACAAAUGUGUAAGUAACUAUGCACGUCUUGACGGUACCUAAUCAGCAAGCCACGGCUAACUACGUGCCAGCAGCCGCGGUAAUACGUAGGUGGCAAGCGUUAUCCGGAAUUAUUGGGCGUAAAGCGCGCGUAGGCGGUUUUUUAAGUCUGAUGUGAAAGCCCACGGCUCAACCGUGGAGGGUCCUUGGAAACUGGAAAACUGGAGUGCAGAAGAGGAAAGUGGAAUUCCAUGUGUAGCGGUGAAAUGCGCAGAGAUAUGGAGGAACACCAGUGGCGAAGGCGACUUUCUGGUCUGUAACUGACGCUGAUGUGCGAAAGCGUGGGGAUCAAACAGG